GCGGAUGUAGUUAAAUGUUAUAAUACCAGUCUUCCUGGCUGGAGUCAUUGGUUCAAUUCCAGUCAUCCGCU
rnacentral:tRNA from 1 species